GAAAAGACCAGAUGUUUCCUUUCUAAGUGACAAAGGGCUUGAGAAUAAAAGAAUCUCACUCUGUAGUCACCCAGGCUGGAAUGCAGUGGUGCGAUCUUGGCUCACUGCAACCUCCACCUCCCAGAUGCAAGCGAUUCUUGUGCCUCAGCCUCCCGAGUAGCUGGGAUUAAAGGCAUGCGCCACCACGCCCAGGAGACAGCUUCCCAAGGCUGGAAAGAGGGGAGUGCGGAACAUGCCUCCACCAUACCACUGCCCACCUCCUGUGACCUCUGCAGCAAAACCUGAAGCCCCAAAGAGGCAGCUUCUCAAAGUAAAAGUGGAAUGAAGAGUCGGGGUUUCACCAUGUUGCCCGGCCUGGUCUCGAACUCCUGGCCUCAAGUCUCUCUGGCUCAGCCUUCCAAAGUGCCAGGAUAACAGGCGUGAACCACGACACCCAGCUUGCUUUGUGUACUUCUAGGGGCUCAGGUGAACCACAUGAGUUCCUGGAUGUGCUUCCAUGUUUCACAGUGAAUUCAUGUUUUUGGUCCAAUCAUGACCAUUUAGACUGUUUAAGAAGGCUGUGUACCAGCUUUAAUAUUGUAUUUUAUGAUAUUAGUGAUCCCUGAAUUUUAUUUGAAAAAAUAUUAUUUUACU
rnacentral:lncRNA from 1 species